rnacentral:tRNA from 1 species
UUUUUGAUGACCGAAGUGUUAUAGGUGUUAGACUUUUAAUCUAAAAAUGAGCAUAGGCUCUCUUGCGG